rnacentral:rRNA from 1 species
AGUGAACGCUGGCGGUAGGCCUAACACAUGCAAGUCGAACGGCAGCACAGUAAGAGCUUGCUCUUACGGGUGGCGAGUGGCGGACGGGUGAGGAAUACAUCGGAAUCUACUUUUUCGUGGGGGAUAACGUAGGGAAACUUACGCUAAUACCGCAUACGACCUACGGGUGAAAGCAGGGGAUCUUCGGACCUUGCGCGAUUGAAUGAGCCGAUGUCGGAUUAGCUAGUUGGCGGGGUAAAGGCCCACCAAGGCGACGAUCCGUAGCUGGUCUGAGUGGAUGAUCAGCCACACUGGAACUGAGACACGGUCCAGACUCCUACGGGAGGCAGCAGUGGGGAAUAUUGGACAAUGGGCGCAAGCCUGAUCCAGCCAUACCGCGUGGGUGAAGAAGGCCUUCGGGUUGUAAAGCCCUUUUGUUGGGAAAGAAAAGCAGCAGGCUAAUACCCCGCUGUUCUGACGGUACCCAAAGAAUAAGCACCGGCUAACUUCGUG